rnacentral:lncRNA from 1 species
GUUCUUGCUGUUGUGUUUUGCUGUUAACUUAAUUUCUUUCAUCAAAUGCUUAAAUGACGAAUUUUAAAGCCUUGAAAAAAAACUGUUUUUUCAAUUUGUCCCAUCCUAGAUUAUGUGGGAUUUGAAUUCUGUUGAUUUGUUCUUGUUUUAGACCAUUGUUAAAAUGCUUUUUGGAUAUUCAUGUUAGCCUUCUGGGUAAAGUUUCAAACUGAGUAAUUUAUUUAGUUAUUUUUCAGUUCUUUAAGCGCUUUUGAAAAGUGCUUUUUAAUUAAGCUAUUUUUUUUCUCUGCAGGUUACAACUUUGAAAUGACUUUGAUGGAAUGGAAAAGCGGGCUGUAAGAAAGCAAGUUUGGAGGCGCCCCCAAGUCCAAAGAGAUUUCAACCUGAUUACCUGGUUUUGGUCUUUAGGAUUUGUUUCCAUCUGUAACAAUUUUCCAUUUAAUUAAAAUGUAAUUACUUAGUUUUUUUUAAGACAAAUGUGUAUUUGGACUGUUUGUAACUUAUUGGAUUAAAU